rnacentral:miRNA from 1 species
ACCUGCGCCUGGGUGUCCGGCGUGUGUGUGUGUGUGUGUGUGUGUGUGUGUCCAGGGCGUAGUGCACGCUCAC